rnacentral:rRNA from 1 species
GACGAACGCUGGCGGCGUGCUUAACACAUGCAAGUCGAACGGAAAGGCCCCUUUGGGGGUACUCGAGUGGCGAACGGGUGAGUAACACGUGAGUAACCUGCCCUUGACUUCGGGAUAACUUCAGGAAACUGGGGCUAAUACCGGAUAGGAAUCCUUGCUGCAUGGUGGGGGUUGGAAAGCUUCGGCGGUUUUGGAUGGACUCGCGGCUUAUCAGCUUGUUGGUGGGGUAGUGGCUUACCAAGGCUUUGACGGGUAGCCGGCCUGAGAGGGCGACCGGCCACAUUGGGACUGAGAUACGGCCCAGACUCCUACGGGAGGCAGCAGGGGGGAAUAUUGCACAAUGGGCGGAAGCCUGAUGCAGCAACGCCGCGUGCGGGAUGACGGCCUUCGGGUUGGAAACCGCUUUCAGCAGGGGCGAAGCUUGUGGUGACGGUACCUGCAGAAGAAGCACCGGCUAACUACGUG